rnacentral:rRNA from 1 species
GGCUCUUUUGGGUCUUGUAAUCGGAAUGAGUACAAUUUAAAUCCCUUAACGAGGAACAAUUGGAGGGCAAGUCUGGUGCCAGCAGCCGCGGUAAUUCCAGCUCCAAUAGCGUAUAUUAAAGUUGUUGCAGUUAAAAAGCUCGUAGUUGAACCUUGGGCCUGGCUGGCCGGUCCGCCUCACCGCGUGUACUGGUCCGGCCGGGCCUUUCCUUCUGGAGAGCCCCAUGCCCUUCACUGGGUGUGAGGGGAAUCCAGGACUUUUACUGUGAAAAAAUUAGAGUGUUCAAAGCAGGCCUUUGCUCGAAUACAUUAGCAUGGAAUAAUAGAAUAGGACGUGCGGUCCUAUUUUGUUGGUUUCUAGGACCGCCGUAAUGAUUAAUAGGGAUAGUCGGGGGCAUCAGUAUUCAAUUGUCAGAGGUGAAAUUCUUGGAUCAAUUGAAGACUAACUACUGCGAAAGCAUUUGCCAAGGAUGUUUUCAUUAAUCAGUGAACGAAAGUUAGGGGAUCGAAGACGAUCAGAUACCGUCGUAGUCUUAACCGUAAACUAUGCCGACUAGGGAUCGGGCGAUGUU